rnacentral:rRNA from 1 species
UACGUAGGGUGCAAGCGUUGUCCGGAAUCAUUGGGCGUAAAGCGCGCGUAGGUGGUCAUGUAAGUCCGCUGUGAAAGUCAAAGGCUCAACCUUUGAAAGCCGGUGGAUACUGCAUGACUAGAGUACGGAAGAGGCGAGUGGAAUUCCUGGUGUAGCGGUGGAAUGCGCAGAUAUCAGGAGGAACACCAAUAGCGAAGGCAGCUCGCUGGGACGUUACUGACACUGAGGCGCGAAAGCGUGGGGAGCGAACAGGA